GAUGAAGAACGUAGCGAAAUGCGAUACUUGGUGUGAAUUGCAGAAUCCAGUGAACCAUCGAGUCUUUGAACGCAAGUUGCGCCUCAAGCCAUUAGGUUGAGGGCACGUCUGCCUGGGCGUCACAUAUCGUUGCCUGAUGCCAGUUUCCUCGUGAUGGGUGACUGUGCAGGGCGAAUGAUGGCUUCCCGUGAGCAUUGUUGCCUCAUGGUUGGUUGAAAAUUGAGUCCUUGGUAGGGAGCGCCGUGAUAGAUGGUGGUUGAGUGACGAACGAGACCCAAUCAUGUGAGACCCCUACCGAAUUUGGCCUUCAUGACCCACAUGCGUCUUUGGAACGCUCAUGACGAGACCUCAGGUCAGGCGGGGCUACCCGCUGAGUUUAAGCAUAUCAAUAAGCGGAGGA
rnacentral:misc_RNA from 1 species